CCCUGGUAAGCUCAGUUGGUAGAGCGCUCCACUUGUAAUGGAGAGGUCCCGGGUUCGAUACCCGGACCAGGCG
rfam:Ixodes scapularis strain Wikel colony gcontig_1108378976136, whole genome shotgun sequence.